rnacentral:rRNA from 2 species
GCUUGCUUUUGAAGAUCAGCGGCGGACGGGUGAGUAACACGUGGGCAACCUGCCUGUAAGACUGGGAUAACUUCGGGAAACCGGAGCUAAUACCGGAUAAUCCUUUCCCUCACAUGAGGGAAAGCUGAAAGACGGUUUCGGCUGUCACUUACAGAUGGGCCCGCGGCGCAUUAGCUAGUUGGUGAGGUAACGGCUCACCAAGGCCACGAUGCGUAGCCGACCUGAGAGGGUGAUCGGCCACACUGGGACUGAGACACGGCCCAGACUCCUACGGGAGGCAGCAGUAGGGAAUCUUCCGCAAUGGACGAAAGUCUGACGGAGCAACGCCGCGUGAACGAUGAAGGCUUUCGGGUCGUAAAGUUCUGUUGUCAGGGAAGAACAAGUACCGGAGUAACUGCCGGUACCUUGACGGUACCUGACCAGAAAGCCACGGCUAACUACGUGCCAGCAGCCGCGGUAAU